GGGGAUCCUGAGCUCCAGUAACUGCUGGAGAACCACUGGGAAGGAUAUCCUGCUAGCCUCUAUUUAUAGCUCCUCAGGAUGGAGGGGAAGGCUGUCACAGAACGGGCAAAAUAAAGCCUUGCCAUUGGCAGAAAACAGCCACACUGGAUCCCAACCUCAACUGUCCAGCGCCCUAAGGAUGGGCAAACAGCAAAGAAGGAAUGUGCAGCUCCAGCUUUAAAUAAACAGCCACCAGCACCUCUCAUCUGUUUGCCUCUAGGCACUUUUAGGUGGGGUAUCAAUUGUUUCAGGGGUACACAUUAACAACUGAGACACAGAACUAAGUGAAUGACAUGCAUUACUCAACACAAAUAGAAGAUUACAACACAGGAAAGUUGACUUUAUUCUAUUUCCAGCAGCAAGACUGCAGAAAAAAAAUCUUUAUUUCUAACUUUUAUAACCAGUAAACUAUGCCUCAAGCUUUCCAGAUUAAAGAAAAGGACAGGCAUCCCCUAAACUAAAACAUUUCAAGGAUUUAUAUGGCAGAUGUGUGGGUUCAGUGGGGGGGGGGAUUGUUUGUGUUUUGGGGGUGUGAUUUUUAAUUUUUUUUUUUUUUAAGAAAAAUGUUUGCUUGUUCUUAAAACCGUGUAAAGUUCUGUCCCAUUAUCCAGUACCUUUUGUGAUUUAUUUAUACUGUAUAAUUACUGUAACAUAACAUAUACACCUAACAGCACAUGAAUUCUAACUCGUGAAAGCAAACUCCUCAGAGGAAACCCACUCCACUACAGACCUGUCAAAUCCCACCCAUUCAGCUGGCAGCACCUGCUCGAAGUACAGCUGCAUGAAAAGAAAGCAGCCAAUACAAAACCCCUGCGUGCUCCUGCAGAAACACGAGGACUUGGACGAGGACACUUACUGGCAAAGCUGCAUUCAAAACGCAGGUCCAAAGAACAGGAUUGGCGAUGGCACCACAAUCCAACGUCAAUUAUGCAACCCGGGAGUUCCCACCUGCUGCCAGAGCCAAACUCACUUUUCUCCCUCCCCAAGCCCUUCUGCCCAAGAGGGGACACCAACCCCACAGCUUAGGGGACACCAGGUUUACAGCCACGCUUUGAACUUGGGCCCCCACCAUCUGAGAAAUUGCCACCAACACCAAACCCUCCCAAAAGCUCCAAAUAAUGGGAGCACCUGACGGACAGGGUUUCUCUCAGGAUUCCUAACUGCACCGCAGGAAGGCGUCCCGCCAUUCCUACGUGGAGAGGAAGAGGUACGGAUCCAAACACGCCCGUUGCCAGGACACGGAUUAGUCACGGGAUCCCCAGAAGCACCACUUCUGCUCUGCAGCCACCCUUCAGCACCAGCAGCGUCUGACAGGCACGGGGCACUGCCUGCACCACCCGGGUUUGGCGGCAGCACUGCUCUGCCAGGACCACUGCUCACACUGAGGCAGGAAAUUAACAAAUUGCUGCUCCCUCUUUCUAUCAACACUGAAAAUGGCACACGUGCGCGGUUCUGAUUUUUUGGGGAAGGUGGCUUUGCACCCUGCCAUCCCACUGGUUCAGGGCUGCUCAAAAAACCCCCCAAACACUGGCAAAUAAACAAAGCAUUAAGAGGAGCUGCAAGCUAUCCGCUUUUCCCUCUGCUCUUGCACGGUUUCGGUAGGAGGAGGACAUUCUCAGGUGUGUGCACGACAAAGCCUUGCAGAGAGUGAGCCUUACACAGCCUGAGUCCAUCACAGGGGAGCAGCUGCCAUUUCUCCUGUUUCUGUGCAACAGGCAGGCACAGCCAGCCAGCCGCCAACACGAACCUGGGAACAGGCUCUGGCUCAGCUUCAAGUGACUUUCUGUCCACGGAUGGUCUGCAAAGCCACGCUGUCCAACUGAGGCAGAGGUAUAACUAACAGCAAUUAAUAAUCAUACUGAAGUCACGUGUCAAAAACUUUAUACAGCAGAGGCCGAAUUGAGUUGCUAUGUAUCAUGCAAAAAACAA